rnacentral:rRNA from 1 species
GACGAACGCUGGCGGCGUGCUUAACACAUGCAAGUCGAGCGGUAAGGCCCUUUCGGGGGUACACGAGCGGCGAACGGGUGAGUAACACGUGGGUGACCUGCCCUCAGCUCUGGGAUAAGCCUGGGAAACCGGGUCUAAUACCGGAUAUGACUCCAUGACGCAUGUUGUGGGGUGGAAAGCCCUGUGCGGCUGAGGAUGGGCCCGCGGCCUAUCAGCUUGUUGGUGGGGUGAUGGCCUACCAAGGCGACGACGGGUAGCCGGCCUGAGAGGGCGACCGGCCACACUGGGACUGAGACACGGCCCAGACUCCUACGGGAGGCAGCAGUGGGGAAUCUUGCGCAAUGGGCGAAAAGCCUGACGCAGCGACGCCGCGUGAGGGAUGACGGCCUGGUGUAACGUAC